UACGUAGGGGGCACGCGUUGUCCGGAAUCAUUGGGCGUAAAGAGCGUGUAGGCGGCUCGGUAAGUCCGCUGUGAAAGUCCAGGGCUCAACCCUGGAAUGCCGGUGGAAACUGUCGAGCUAGAGUCCGGAAGAGGCGAGUGGAAUUCCUGGUGUAGCGGUGAAAUGCGCAGAUAUCAGGAGGAACACCAAUGGCGAAGGCAGCUCGCUGGGACGGUACUGACGCUGAGACGCGAAAGCGUGGGGAGCAAACAGG
rnacentral:rRNA from 1 species